rnacentral:rRNA from 1 species
AGUGAACGCUGGCGGUAGGCCUAACACAUGCAAGUCGAACGGCAGCACAGGAGAGCUUGCUCUCUGGGUGGCGAGUGGCGGACGGGUGAGGAAUACAUCGGAAUCUACUCUGUCGUGGGGGAUAACGUAGGGAAACUUACGCUAAUACCGCAUACGACCUACGGGUGAGAGCAGGGGAUCUUCGGACCUUGCGCGAUUGAAUGAGCCGAUGUCGGAUUAGCUAGUUGGCGGGGUAAAGGCCCACCAAGGCGCCGAUCCGUAGCUGGUCUGAGAGGAUCAUCAGCCACACUGGAACUGAGACACGGUCCAGACUCCUACGGGAGGAAGCAGUGGGGAAUAUUGGACAAUGGGCGCAAGCCUGAUCCAGCCAUACCGCGUGGGUGAAGAAGGCCUUCGGGUUGUAAAGCCCUUUUGUUGGGAAAGAAAUCCAGCUGGCUAAUACCCGGUUGGGAUGACGGUACCCUAAGAAUAAGCACCGGCUAACUUCGUGCCAGCCGCCGCCGUAA